ensembl:snRNA U6 U6 spliceosomal RNA
GUGCUCGCUCUGGCAGCACAUAUACUAAAAUUGGAACGACAUGGAGAAGAUUAGCAUGGCCCCUGUGCAAGGAUGAUACACAAAUUUGUGAAGCGUUCUCUAUUUUU